rnacentral:tRNA from 1 species
GGGAAUGUGGCUCAGUGGUAGAGUGUUUGCCUAGUAUGCAUGAAGCCCUGGAUUCGAUUCCUCAGUACCA